rnacentral:rRNA from 1 species
GACGAACGCUGGCGGCGUGCUUAACACAUGCAAGUCGAACGGAAAGGCCCUGCCUUUGUGGGGUGCUCGAGUGGCGAACGGGUGAGUAACACGUGAGUAACCUGCCCUUGACUUUGGGAUAACUUCAGGAAACUGGGGCUAAUACCGGAUAGGAGCUCCUGCGGCAUGGUGGGGGUCGGAAAGUUUCGGCGGUUGGGGAUGGACUCGCGGCUUAUCAGCUUGUUGGUGGGGUAGUGGCUUACCAAGGCUUUGACGGGUAGCCGGCCUGAGAGGGUGACCGGCCACAUUGGGACUGAGAUACGGCCCAGACUCCUACGGGAGGCAGCAGUGGGGAAUAUUGCACAAUGGGCGGAAGCCUGAUGCAGCAACGCCGCGUGCGGGAUGACGGCCUUCGGGUUGUAAACCUCUUUCGCCUGGGACGAAGCGAGAGUGACGGUAAUGGGUAAAGAAGCACCGGCUAACUACGUG